ACGGCAGCACGGGGGCAACCCUGGUGGCGAGUGGCGAACGGGUGAGUAAUAUAUCGGAACGUACCCAGUAGUGGGGGAUAACUAUCCGAAAGGAUAGCUAAUACCGCAUACGAUCUGUGGAUGAAAGCAGGGGAUCUUCGGACCUUGUGCUAUUGGAAUGGCCGAUAUCUGAUUAGCUAGUUGGUAGGGUAAAAGCCUACCAAGGCGACGAUCAGUAGCUGGUCUGAGAGGACGACCAGCCACACUGGAACUGAGACACGGUCCAGACUCCUACGGGAGGCAGCAGUGGGGAAUUUUGGACAAUGGGGGCAACCCUGAUCCAGCAAUGCCGCGUGAGUGAAGAAGGCCCUCGGGUUGUAAAGCUCUUUUGUCAGGGAAGAAACGGUGAUCUCUAAUAUAGAUUGCUAAUGACGGUACCUGAAGAAUAAGCACCGGCUAACUACGUGCCAGCAGCCGCGGUAAUACGUAGGGUGCAAGCGUUAAUCGGAAUUACUGGGCGUAGAGCGUGCGCAGGCGGUUUUGUAAGUCUGAUGCGAAAUCCCCGGGCUCAACCUGGGAACUGCAUUGGAGACUGCAAGGCUAGAGUGUGUCAGAGGGGGGUAGAAUUCCACGUGUAGCAGUGAAAUGCGUAGAGAUGUGGAGGAAUACCGAUGGCGAAGGCAGCCCCCUGGGAUAACACUGACGCUCAUGCACGAAAGCGUGGGGAGCAAACAGGAUUAGAUACCCUGGUAGUCCACGCCCUAAACGAUGUCUACUAGUUGUCGGGACUUAAUUGUCUUGGUAACCCAGCUAACGCGUGAAAUAGACCGCC
rnacentral:rRNA from 1 species